UGUCUGCCCACUAUUGUGCUUAGCCUCUGGAAGUCGCUUAGGAGCCUGGGAUUUUGUGGAGAUGUGGGAGUCAGUUGCUUCUGUCCAAAGGAGUUGGCCAGUGGGGGCCAUUCUGAGUUCAGAAACCUCUGGCUUUGAACCUGAUGGACCCAGCCAGGCCCAGCUCUGCUGUUGACCAGCUGUGUGCUCUGGGACUCAAGUUAAGUCUGCAGGUGGCAAAACUGUCACCUGCCGUCCCAUCUUCCCUUUACCCCGCCCCCGACCCCUGUGUUCCAUUUGGGGCUUCAGAGAGUUGGUGCCACCUAGCUCCGUUCACUGACACGCAUCUUGUGCUGUGCUAGGAUGUCGUCCCCAUGUUAGUGUGUCCUCUCCAGGGAGACUGGCAGCCCUCGUGGGCGUGCAUCUUCUGCUUCUGCAUCCUCUGUCACUGCCAGCAGAGGCCUGGGCAGUGGUGGACAGCGGAUAUUAUCUGUGGUUGUGCUGGAAUGGAGGAGGCCUGGUGUCUGGUUUUAGAGUCAAGAGCCCAUGUGCUUAAGGGUUCCAAGCUCAUACGGAGGAGGACGUGAUUCGCUCUGGGAAGGAGAAGGGCUGGAAGGAGGGCAAGAGCCCUCAACCUGUUCUUGCUGGGAAGGAAAGAGCAGGUGAGGGUGGGAUACUGUUCCAAGCAUGGGAAACAGGCCACGGGAGGUGGCUAUGGCCCUGGGAGGCGGCUGCUCCAGCACACAGUCACUGAGCCGUCCCGUGUGCUCUGCGGCAGGUUCUGGGAGUCUAGGAAGUGCUGAGCAGAUGGAAUCCAUGCCCUCGGGGAGACGGGGACCAUCACCCACCCAGAGUGUGGAAAAAAAGAGGAAAAGCUAUCAGCAAUACCAAGGGAAACAGCAGUCUAAGAAAAUUUGGAAAUAGGGAAAAGAGAAAGAAGAGGAAAAGAUGCCUGAAUAUACCUAGACAGGCCCUGUGAACAUGCUGCUGGCUCUCUUUCCACUCCUUCAUCUACACAGGUGGGUUUUUCUUUAUUUAAAAUGUUUGUUUAGCUAUAACUCACAUGCAGCAGAGUGCACAAAUCUGAAGUUAGUAGUUAAGUGUUAGACAUGUACACACUCUGCGCCCACCGCCUCUGUUAGGAUGGAGAGCAAUGCCAGUGCCCAGGGGCGCCGCGGGCCCUGCCCAGCCUCACUCACACUCUCUUCAGCAAACCCUGAUUCUCACUCUAUUCCAUAGGAUAGUUUGCUCUGUUCUUAAGCCUCAUAUAAAUGAACCAUGUUAUGUGUGGUUUUUGUG
rnacentral:lncRNA from 13 species